rnacentral:misc_RNA from 1 species
GAUGAAGAACGUAGCGAAAUGCGAUAAGUAAUGUGAAUUGCAGAAUUCAGUGAAUCAUCGAAUCUUUGAACGCACAUUGCGCCCGCCAGUAUUCUGGCGGGCAUGCCUGUUCGAGCGUCAUUACAACCCUCAGGCCCCCGGGCCCGGCGUUGGGGAUCGGCGGAAGCCCCCUGCGGGCACAACGCCGUCCCCCAAAUACAGUGGCGGUCCCGCCGCAGCUUCCAUUGCGUAGUAGCUAACACCUCGCAACUGGAGAGCGGCGCGGCCACGCCGUAAAACACCCAACUUCUGAAUGUUGACCUCGAAUCAGGUAGGAAUACCCGCUGAACUUAAGCAUAUCAAUAAGCGGAGGA